rnacentral:misc_RNA from 1 species
GGCAGGUUGACAGAGGUAAUCAGUAAUUGUGAUGCAUUGUGCAAGAGGAUUGAUGCAGAGGGACCAGAAUCGCUGCGAUCAUCUAUCAAACCAUUUACAAUAGCUUCCUCGGACACAGAAAGCAACAGCAGCAGCAUGCAUACUCUGCAAGGUAAAGCAGAUGAAAAGCAAUAGUGCCGAGGCCUCUCUUUGGAGCUUAUAAAAUGUCUCUAUACCCCCGGG